GAGUUUGAUCAUGGCUCAGGACGAACGCUGGCGGCGUGCUUAACACAUGCAAGUCGAACGGAGUUAAGCGCUGGUCCGAUUCUAGCUUGCUAGAGGAUUUCCUUGCUUAACUUAGUGGCGGACGGGUGAGUAACGCGUGAGUAACCUGCCCUUUAGUGGGGAAUAACGCCCUGAAAAGAGCGCUAAUACCGCAUAACACAUAUUUGCCGCAUGACAGAUAUGUCAAAGAUUUAUCGCUGAAGGAUGGACUCGCGUCCGAUUAGCUUGUUGGUGAGGUAACGGCCCACCAAGGCGACGAUCGGUAGCCGGACUGAGAGGUUGAACGGCCACAUUGGGACUGAGACACGGCCCAGACUCCUACGGGAGGCAGCAGUGGGGGAUAUUGCGCAAUGGGGGAAACCCUGACGCAGCAACGCCGCGUGGAGGAUGACGGUUUUCGGAUUGUAAACUCCUUUUAUAAGGGACGAACUAAGACGGUACCUUAUGAAUAAGCUCCGGCUAACUACGUGCCAGCAGCCGCGGUAAUACGUAGGGAGCAAGCGUUGUCCGGAUUUACUGGGUGUAAAGGGUGCGUAGGCGGCUUGGCAAGUCAGAUGUGAAAUGCAGAGGCUCAACCUCUGAACUGCAUUUGAAACUGUCAGGCUUGAGUGAAGUAGAGGCAGGCGGAACUCCCUGUGUAGCGGUGAAAUGCGUAGAGAUAGGGAGGAACACCAGUGGCGAAGGCGGCSUGCUGGGCUUUAACUGACGCUGAGGCACGAAAGCGUGGGUAGCAAACAGGAUUAGAUACCCUGGUAGUCCACGCUGUAAACGAUGAUUACUAGGGUGUGGGUGGACUGACCCCAUCCGUGCCGCAGUUAACACAAUAAGUAAUCCACCUGGGGAGUACGGCCGCAAGGUUGAAACUCAAAGGAAUUGACGGGGGCCCGCACAAGCAGUGGAGUAUGUGGUUUAAUUCGAAGCAACGCGAAGAACCUUACCAGGUCUUGACAUCGAGUGACGAUCUUAGAGAUAGGAUUUUCCUUCGGGACACGAAGACAGGUGGUGCAUGGUUGUCGUCAGCUCGUGUCGUGAGAUGUUGGGUUAAGUCCCGCAACGAGCGCAACCCUUGCUAUUAGUUGCUACGCAAGAGCACUCUAAUAGGACUGCCGUUGACAAAACGGAGGAAGGUGGGGACGACGUCAAAUCAUCAUGCCCCUUAUGACCUGGGCUACACACGUACUACAAUGGUCGGUACAAUGAGACGCAAAGUCGCGAGGCGGAGCAAAUCACCAAAACCGAUCCCAGUUCGGAUUGCAGGCUGCAACUCGCCUGCAUGAAGUCGGAGUUGCUAGUAAUCGCGAAUCAGCAUGUCGCGGUGAAUGCGUUCCCGGGUCUUGUACACACCGCCCGUCACACCAUGGAAGUUGGGGGCGCCCAAAGUUGGCUAAUUAAUCUGCUACCUAAGGCGAAACCAAUGACUGGGGUGAAGUCGUAACAAGGUAACCGUA
rnacentral:rRNA from 1 species